rnacentral:rRNA from 1 species
GAUGAACGCUGGCGGCGUGCCUAAUACAUGCAAGUCGAGCGAACAGAUGAGGAGCUUGCUCCUCUGACGUUAGCGGCGGACGGGUGAGUAACACGUGGAUAACCUACCUAUAAGACUGGGAUAACUUCGGGAAACCGGAGCUAAUACCGGAUAAUAUAUUGAACCGCAUGGUUCAAUAGUGAAAGACGGUUUUGCUGUCACUUAUAGAUGGAUCCGCGCCGCAUUAGCUAGUUGGUAAGGUAACGGCUUACCAAGGCAACGAUGCGUAGCCGACCUGAGAGGCUGAUCGGCCACACGGGAACUGAGACACGGUCCAGACUACUACGGGAGGCAGCAGUAGGGAAUGUUCCGCAAUGGGCGAAAGCCUGACGGAGCAACGCCGCGUGAGUGAUGAAGGUCUUCGGAUCGUAAAACUCUGUUAUUAGGGAAGAACAAAUGUGUAAGUAACUAUGCACGUCUUGACGGUACCUAAUCAGAAAGCCACGGCUAACUACGUG